GCGCCCAGGAAACCGGAAGGAGAUAUCUUUUCCUCCGGAAGGAGAGAGGAAUUGCAAUGGGAUGCUUGACACCUGAUGCUCACUCACCACAUGGGUUCUGCAGAGUCGCGCCAAAGUCUGGCCCUGGAGCGGCGGGGGACAGUGGUGUCCUGGUCAGCAGGCGUCACAGGGAAUGGGAGCAGAGACGGUGAGUGGUUCAGACUACUAGAGAGCCUGGGGCCCAGAAGAGAAGACCAGUUCAUUGGAUUUGGACAGGGACAAGUGACAGACAUCUUCAUUUCUGCUCAUUCUCUUGGACGGUUAACCAUGGCUCACCUUCUGCCAGUAACCAGCAGUGUGUUACAGCCUCCAUCUUCCACCUCCUUCUCUCUUCUUGAAUGCUCAUGAUUUUUCAAUCAGUAUAUGAGUUCCCUGAAAGCAGCAGUCGUUUUCAUGCUCUGAUCAUUCAUGCAGCCACAGCCUGUUUUUGAUCUGCUUCUAGUCAAGUGGACACCCGAGCAGACCCCUGAGUAUUCUGUCAUAGGUGAGCUUGCAGCGUAUACCUCCACUUGAGAGACAGAGGGAUUAGGAGGUGCCUCCCAGAGGUGAUUGGUUUUGAGCUGUAUAGGCAUUAGGUGGACAAGGAAGAGGAGGUCCACUCUAGGUGCCUAGGAGUCACUUGCUGUUUUAAGAGUAUAUAGUAAGAAGACAGGAUUGAGUAUCUUACAACUUUCUCUAGAGGCUGUCUGUUCAGACUGAGCGUCUUGUUUCUUCCUUCCCUGUCUCUACCUCCCUCCCCUUCAGGUAGUGGAUAUUUGGGAUGUGGAAAGAAGUAGAGAAGUAAAUGGCAAAAUGACAGUCAGGCUUACAAAACACUAAUGUGUACACCCAGUCCAUCUGUUUCAAGAGCUGUGUUUCUGUUUUAUUAAAACAACUGGGAAACCUCGGGUUUUUUGUUGGUUGGAUGUUUUCUCAAUGAGCAGAUUACAUUCCUGUCUCCAAACCAGUGUGUUUGAAUAUAAGGGUAACUCAGUUCCCUUCAAGGAAAAGAUCCUGCUUUAGGCUUAGGAAUAAGAAUGGGGAGGCAGCAAGAUUAAGUGAAGACAGCAGAAAACCUUGAUUCUGUCAAAGUCUAGGAAAAGGAAGAAAAUCAGUCCAGCAAUUAGCUAAGCCUCAUUUUAUUUCCAGGAUCGGUGAUAGCAGGAAACAAGCAGUGACACAGUGGGACACAGCAUACUUGACAAGCUGUGCAGCAACUCUGCUGAGCAGCAGCUGUGCCAGGUCAUAGGCACGCUCCUUCCUAAUGGCAGAGGCUGACUAGCAGGCUGUUACCUUACAUUUAGCUCAGUUAACCAUGGGCAGCGAGAGAAACAUGCAUGAGUUUUGGCUUGUUUGUUUGAAACAAGGUCUCACUUUGUAGCUCAGGCUGCCCUGGAAUUCACUGUAGCCCAGGCUAGCCUCAGAUUUGCAGCAGUCUUCCUGCUUCAACCUUCUGAGUGCUGAGAUUACAACCUGAGCCACCAUGCCUCACUUGUGGUUUAGCUUCUUCAAACAGGAUUUCGUGUAGCCCAGGCUGGCUUUGAACUUGCUUUGUAGCUGAAGAUGACCUUGGACUCCUGUUCUUCCUUGCUCUACCUUCCAAGUGCUGGGAUUACAGACAUACUUGCCAACUGGUUGCGGGUGAAAGUGGCCAGUAAACUCUGCCCCUUGUUUUUUUAAAUUUUUAAAUUUAUUAUUAUCUUUUUAUUUUAUGUAUAUGCAUGUAUUGUCUGCUGUAGGUAAGUGUACCCGUGUCGUGCAAUGCCCACAGAGGUCAGAAGAGGCUGUUGGAUCCCCUGGGACUGGAGUUAUGGACAGUUGUUAGCUGCCAUGUGGGUGCUGGGAUUUGAACCUGGGUCUUCUGCAAAAACAACCAGUGUUCUUUACCACUGAGCCAUCUCUCCAGCCCCUAAACUCUGCCCCUUGUUGAAAUUUUGUUUCAUCAGGUUGUAUUUUUAAGGACUUGUAAUAUCUCACAAAAACCAAAAGUUGUUUAUUUUUUGCUUUAUUCUAUGCUUUUCAUCUUGAAGAUGUUUAAACAAAGAUUCUUUAUGGUUAAUAAGUGUGGUGCUUAAAGUUAGUCAUCUCCCAUAAGUGAAUUUUAAAUGUGAAAGAUAAUUCUAGAUAGUUGUCUUCUUGUUAAAUAAAAAAUCGUAUUAAAAUCGUGUGGGUGUUACAUUUUAGCCAUUUACCCAUGUUUGUGUCAUGUGUGAAGCGCUCCAGAAAGCCUUCUGGAGUCCUAAAGUCAAAC